rnacentral:tRNA from 1 species
AUUUAAAUAAUUUAAUAAAAAUAUUGAUUUGUGGAAUCAAAAAUGUAUAUAUAUAUACUUUAAAUU